AAUCAACGCUGGCGGCGUGCCUCAGACAUGCAAGUCGAACGAUUAAAGCUCUCUUCGGAGAGUGCAUAGAGUGGCGCACGGGUGAGUAACACGUAAGUAAUCUACCUUCGAGUGGGGAAUAACACCGAGAAAUCGGUGCUAAUACCGCAUAAUGCAGCGGCAUCGCAAGAUGACAGUUGUUAAAGAUUUAUCGCUUGAAGAGGAGCUUGCGGCAGAUUAGCUAGUUGGUAAGGUAAUGGCUUACCAAGGCUACGAUCUGUAACCGGUCUAAGAGGACGGUCGGUCACACUGACACUGAAUAACGGGUCAGACUCCUACGGGAGGCAGCAGUCGGGAAUUUUGGGCAAUGGGCGAAAGCCUGACCCAGCAACGCCGCGUGAAGGAUGAAGUA
rnacentral:rRNA from 1 species